rnacentral:rRNA from 1 species
AUGGAUUGUAGCCUCUCCAUAGUGUUCUGGAACAUGCGCGGGCUCAAUAGCCGCGCCAAACGCAUGGCCGUGCACUCCGUUGUAUCCUCAGCCGACCCUGGUAUCGUGUGUUUAUCUGAAACUAAGCCGAGUUCCGUCUCGUCGCUAUUUGUCAUGGAUAUGUUGGGCACCCCCUUUCCCGACUUUUACUUUCUUUCAGCCGCGGGCACUUGUGGCGGAAUCCUG